GACAUAUUUAGCAUAAUUAUAAAUGGCAUCUAAAAUAUGUGGGAACUGUAUGAGCGAAAAAAACCCAGAGCAUAACUUGAAUAUUUUAAUGUAGGUUAAGCAUAACAUAUCUCUAUACACUUAUCUGUUAUUUUUAUACACUUAAAACCAAUGUUCUAUUUAAGGGUGGAUUCAUUGUGCUAUUAAUAGCGAACGAAAUAUAAAAGUUAUUCAGGAAAUUGUGAAAUUAUAUGACACACGAGAAGGUAUAUACAGUUAAUUAAAGAACAAGAAGAUGUGGAAUGAUUGUCAAGGAGACAACUACCACCAGAAACCAAAUGAGCAUAAAAUUGAGAAUGGAAAUGGGGAAUGUGUCGAAGAGACAACAACCCUACCAUAGAGCAGACAACAGCUGAAGGCCACCAAUGGGUCUUCAAUGCAGCGAGAAACUCCCGCACCCGGAGGCGUCCCUCAGCUGGCCCCUAAACAAAUAAGUAUACUAGUUCAGUGAUAAUGGACGUCAUACUAAACUCCAAAUUAUACACAGGAAACUAAAAUUUUCGUAUUCAUUAUAAAUAUCUGUGGAAAACCCCACGUGUAUUUUUAAUAAACAGAACUUCUCAUUCGUAGAUGUCUGCUGCAUGAUAAUGGAAUACGGAAAAACCUGGAAAACUCAAGAUAAACCAUUUGUGGCUGCUCUUUAUUCUGACGAUUUAUGUCAUACCACAGCCGUCAAGUCUCUGAUGCAGUAUAAUUACCAUACAGUAGAUAUAAUGGAAGCUGUUAAACGUUUUAUCGACUUACAUGGUCACACGAAUUUCAGUGCAGAAGAUCUGUUGAAAUUAGUUAUGGAGAGACAUAAAAGUCAGUAUUCAACGUCUUCAUCGAUGUUGCACAUAGAAACGGAUUGUCCAGAAACACGAAUACCUAUUAACAAAGAGGAAGACACAGACAGUAUUCUUGAAGAAAAUAGACGGAUUGAAGAAAGUAAACUUUGCAAAAUUUGUCUAGAAAAUAAAGUGAACAUUGUGUUUUUACCGUGUGGACAUAUCUGUGCUUGUUCAGACUGUUCACCAGCCAUUCGUAAAUGCGCCAUCUGUCGUGAAUUCAUAAAAAGUGUAAUGAAAGUAGACGUUAUUUAAUCAAGGAAAGUGCUUUUUGCUGCUUUAAAAAUGUAGAUAUCCUCACUUUAUUUUUUGUUUUAUUUUCCCUUCAUCUUAUAUGACUAUAACAUAACUGUUAAUGUACAAUUAAUGUUUUCUUUAAAUGUUAUUUGUAGCGUUUUGCAUAGUCUAUGAUUAGUCAUGGAAAUAAUAUAAUAAAUGGAAAUGGAAUUUAAA